rnacentral:rRNA from 1 species
AGAGCGAACGCUGGCGGCAGGCCUAAUACAUGCAAGUCGAGCGGUCCCUUCGGGGGCAGCGGCGGACGGGUGAGUAACGCGUGGGAACGUGCCCUUUGGUACGGAACAACUGAGGGAAACUUCAGCUAAUACCGUAUGUGCCCUUCGGGGGAAAGAUUUAUCGCCAUUGGAGCGGCCCGCGUUGGAUUAGGUAGUUGGUGAGGUAAAGGCUCACCAAGCCUACGAUCCAUAGCUGGUCUGAGAGGAUGAUCAGCCACACUGGGACUGAGACACGGCCCAGACUCCUACGGGAGCAGCAGUAGGGAAUCUUGCGCAAUGGGCGAAAGCCUGACGCAGCCAUGCCGCGUGAAUGAUGAAGUC